rnacentral:rRNA from 1 species
GACGAACGCUGGCGGCGUGCUUAACACAUGCAAGUCGAGCGGAAAGGCCCUGCUUUUGUGGGGUGCUCGAGUGGCGAACGGGUGGGUAACACGUGAGUAACCUGCCCUUGACUUUGGGAUAACUUCAGGAAACUGGGGCUAAUACCGGAUAGGAGCUCCUGCUGCAUGGUGGGGGUUGGAAAGUUUCGGCGGUUGGGGAUGGACUCGCGGCUUAUCAGCUUGUUGGUGGGGUAGUGGCUUACCAAGGCUUUGACGGGUAGCCGGCCUGAGAGGGUGACCGGCCACAUUGGGACUGAGAUACGGCCCAGACUCCUACGGGAGGCAGCAGUGGGGAAUAUUGCACAAUGGGCGGAAGCCUGAUGCAGCAACGCCGCGUGCGGGAUGACGGCCUUCGGGUUGUAAACCGCUUUCGCCUGUGACGAAGCGUGAGUGACGGUAAUGGGUAAAGAAGCACCGGCUAACUACGUG